CAAAAACAUAGCCUCCCGCAAAAAUGGGAGGUCAUGCCUGCCCAGUGGACUAACCAGUCUAAACGGCCGCGGUAUCUUGACCGUGCAAAGGUAGCAUAAUCAUUUGUCUUUUAAAUGGAGACUUGUAUGAACGGCAAAACCUUUUCCAACUGUCUCCCCCGCUACCCUUAGAAACUCUUACCUAGGUGAAGAAACCUAGAUAACCCAGAAAGACGAGAAGACCCUGUCGAGCUUCAGUCUAAAAGGAUCAAACGAUAAUGAAGGCCACAAGCACCGAGAUAAUAAUCCUAGAAGACUUUGGUUGGGGCAACCAUGGAGAAAAAAAAUACUCCAGCACACGUGGAAGGCAUCAUGUCACCACACAAACAGAAUGAGAACCAGGAACUGGUAAUCGGAAAAAGUUACCGCAGGGAUAACAGCGUAAUCCUCUCUAAGAGUCCUUAUUGACGAGAGGGUUUGCGACCUCGAUGUUGGAUUGGGACCUCCAUAGGGUGCAGAAGCUCUAAAGGGUUGGACUGUUCGUCCAUUAAAGUCCUACAUGAUCUGAGUU
rnacentral:rRNA from 1 species